rnacentral:misc_RNA from 1 species
CUCAAAAUCGAGUACCGCACAAUUUUAUCUCAAGCGGUUAUAGCGCAGUAUAUGGUUUUGUAAAUGUAGCCUUGGUAAUAGUAUGGUGAAAUUGAAAGGUCUAAAUACUUUGCCGAUGUACGGUGGUUCACGUCUCAGAGGAUACCUUCGUAUGUACCGCUUUCGAGUCUGUUCUUUAUUAACGUAAUAAAGUCUGACUGUGCGAGAACGGACAUAUCUACUUACAUCCCAUAGAUAAUAGGUACAGUAGCUGACGAAAGUAUUCGAACAUUUAUAGGAAACUUCCUGUGAUUUUUUACUGCGUGUGUUGUACGAAACUUUUUGAAAUUUCAUUAGCGGUGUAGUGCGUGAGCUGUUGUACCGUGUACCAGAGGUAAGUAGAUACGUCUGUCUCUGGACGGACGAACGCGAAAGAAUAAUUAUUUUUAUGUAUGAUUUCUCGCUUCAACCGUAUGCUAAAG